GGAAAAUAUUAGAAGGAAAGUUAUUUUUGCAUAAUAUAAUUAUAAUUCUACCCCUAAAUAUUCAAAAAAAACCUAAAAGAUAUAGGGAUAUUUUAUAAUUUUAAACAUUUUCCUCCCAUUUUCUCCCUAAUUUAGAGAGAAAAUGGGAAUCGAAUCUAACAUUUAUUUUUCUUCCAAAAUUUUUCCCCUUUAUUUUAUCCUUAACCAAACAUAAAUUGAGUGAAAAAUAAGGUUAUUUCCCUCUCAACUUUCCUUUCUUACUUUCUUCAAUCAAAACUAGGAUUUUGUUUUAAUUUCUUGUCUCAUUUAAUGAGCUCUUUGGCAGUUCAAAAUACAAUCCUGUUGACUCCUUUAGUUGGAGACUUUUCAUCUUCAAUUAUAGGUGAUGAUCUUCCAUCAAUGGAGAUUGAUAAUAUGACCUGUUUCUCCAUUGUCGUUUGGUGGUUUGAACUCUUUUGAGGGCCACAUAAGUAGCGAGUUUGAAAAGGAUAGUGUUUCUCCAUUGUCGUUUGGUGGUUUGAACUCUUUUGAGGGCCACAUAAGUAGCGAGUUUGAAAAGGAUAG
rnacentral:misc_RNA from 1 species